CUUUUGUUGGGCUUCUGCAUCGUCACUUGUUUCUCUGGAUUCUGCUUCCUUCGAAACAAUUGCCUGAACUCGCACUUCACAAAUGCUCUCGGCCUUCUGAGCUUCGCCAGCCUCAUUCAUUGAGGUGAAAAUACGACCUGAAGUUCGCGCUGAACUUUGUUGUGGUUAUGAACCUUUGUGGGGUCGCUGGUCUGUGAUCGAUAAUACUCAGAACACCAAGUCUCUGAAUUCGAUUUCCUAUGACUUUGUCUAGUCCCGUCUUCGCAGAACUGCAACUUGCUCUCUUUCUGGACACAUACCUGGUCUCUUGCCAUCAGAUCGCCUUCGAGCCUCAGGACUUUCUCCUCCAACGCAUUUUUCUUCAUCCUGCAAAGCUCUGCUUCCGACUGCACUUCGCGCUGGUAAGAAAGUUUCUCCACCAUAGCAACUCGCUCCCGUUUUAGUUUCUCAUAUUCUUCUGAUAACGAUUUGAAUGAUCCUUUCUGCACCUGAGCUUCCGACAUUGCUUCUUUACGCGACACCGUCAGUGUCAAAACUUCAUUCUGCAGCUCCGGCACUCUCUGCAACUGCAUUCUCAGCAGUGAACGCCUUUAUAUUUUCUUGCUUCCCCCUCCAAGAAAAGACACCGCUCUUCCAACUUCAGCUUCCGCUCCUUCAUCUUCCCGACGAGCUUUUGCUGUAACCUGCAUUCGUCGACAAGGGAUUCGGUUGUGGCCUGCAGCUUCACAUUCAGCUUGCUGAGGCGGUCGCACUCGUCCUGAGCUUCGGACCAUCGUUUCUCCGCUCCUUGCACCUUCUGCUUCGCGUCAAGUUUCUGGGAUUUGAUUUCUUCUUGCAGUCUUCUGACUUGAUCAUGGAGGCGCAUAAUCUCGUGCUCUGAAUGCUUCAACUCCAGCGAACCCGAUUCCUUUGCAUCGACCAGGUAUCUUAGCUGAGCUUCCAAGCCAUACACCCGCUGCGUUAAGUAUAAGUUUUCUUCUUCGAGUUCGCUAAUAUAUUUCAUCCACUGUGUCCCGAUUUCUUCAACGAUGUUGUCUGAAACACGGGAGCUCAUGCUGCUGCUGCUGUUGUAAAGAACAGCGUCGCUUACCGAAUGGCUGGAACAAUCAGAGGUGCUCAUUGUAAAAUCCCCGUCGAUGGUUUCUUGACAAUACUUCGGCACCUUAUUAUCGAUUUCCAUCUCGUAUGAAUUGGCGUUUCCUGCUAUGGAGUUGUCGUCGGGUUCCUCAUUCCUUGGGCAUUGUACAUCGAUCGCUGGUUUGUUGUCUCGAGAAUCUGUCUCUAGUUCCGAAAAAUCUGUUAAGCUCAGUAGUUCGAUCUCGUUGCUCUGAUCUUGAUGGUCAUUGUGUUUCGACUCUUUUAAAUCUUCUUUGCUAAUCGCUCUUGAUAAGGCAGCAUCGAGCUCACCUAAUCUACGGCUGUAUCCGUCGAGACAUCUCUUCAGAACAAGAUUCAUGGUAUCUUGCUCGAUCUCGAUCUCUAUGAUCUUGUCGUCGAGCGAGCUUUCUAAAAACAGAAUUCUGCCGCGAGAUGUUUGCAAUAAGUCUUGCAGGUUCAGAAGCUCAUCGGAGACUUGAUCGACAACGUUAACUUCAUCCGACUCCUCAUUCCGGAAAUUGAUUUUAGAAUCCGUUGCAAGUCUUUCCAGCUCGAGCUUCUGUUUCUCCAACGUUUCCUCCAUCUCUCGAAGAAGGGCGAUGAGCUCAAUGUUCGACUCUUGCGUUUUCUUGAGCUGUAUCGACAUAUGCUCGUUCUGCUCUACUUGGAAUCUCACCUCGUCCUCGAGCUCUUUCUGUAUAUCGCUGCUCGCCAUUCCCCGGAUCUCCGAGUAUUGACUCAUGCUCCCUUUUGGCGGCGAUUCUUCCAGCUGGGAUUUCAGCCGAUGGACUUCUUGAGUUAGUUUUCGACAAUCUUCCUGCGACGCAGAAAGUUCCUUCCUCGAAGUCUCCAAAUCGAGCGAUAGCUUACGCGCGUUCUGUUCCCACAUUUUUGCUUCAGAGAUGAGCUCUAGAACUGCUGGAUCAUCGGCUUCAGUGAAAGUCUCCGAGGAUGGAGCAGUCGUAACCGAUGAUUCGCCAAAGUCUAUUUUGCCAUACUUGUCCGAUGCCUGGAUCGAGCGAACUGAUUUCACCGAAUAAGAGGUGUAAGAUGCAGCUUCGAUGGAUUCGAUCGAGUCUUGCCUUCUGGUCGCUGUAUUGUUGCUGCCGCUUUGCGAAGACGGGCUACGCCUGCCUACAGAAUCGUCUGUCGUCGAGUCAAAGCUGGAACGUGAAACAAACGUUGAGAAACGUGCUUCCUGUAAUGUCCGGACAUCCGCUUUUGGUGUAAGACAGGUAACUUCAACCUGAAGAACAUAUAAAUUUCUCCGUAAACUGAAAACACAGCGCGUCGAAUUGAAAUGCUUGAGCACGGCGGCGGCGGCUUACUUGUAGAACGGUGGUGCUGUGGUGGUAUUUUUGCAACGGUAACGAUACUUGAGUCGGGGAUUGAGAACUCAGGAAGUUUUCCAGAUCGAGUGUGGCUUCGCCGAGGGCUCUGAGUUUCGAAGAUCCCUGUUUACGAUGGAUGUGUUAGAUCAACUGAAAUUGACAUCCUGAUUAAGAUCGGAGCUGUUAAACGAGCCAAACGAGCUUAAUAUUGGUAUAGAGAUUCAGUUAGAUUCGGUUGGUUAAGAAUUCAAGUUCGAGUUCGGCUCGCACAAAGUCAAAGAUUGGCUUAAAUUAUAUA